GCUACAUAGUGCUUGUUUCUAUGAUUUAUGGAGGACCAAAGUUCAUCUAAGAAUUUCAUGUCCUCCUGAUUGAACCAAGUGAACAGGAUGUGAUCACAUGAACACAGAAUUAAGGUCGUCUCUGCAUUGUGUUCUGUAGAUUUGUAUGCAUAUAUCAGCCCUCAUGUCCUCAUAAACCAUAUCAAAUGACUAAAACAAAAGCUUUAAAUUACUUAUGGAAUGAAUAGCUCUCACAUGUAUACAAAUGCUUUAUCUUUCAGCUACUUACAAUAUACUGCUUAUGGAUGCAUUCUUCUUGCACAACAGGCAAAUAUAGACUAUCUUUACACAAAUGUAUAUGUUUCUUUCUAAUGUUAUCGCCCAAGCUAAUCUUUAAACAUUUUCUGACAGUGGGUCAUCGGAAGACUUAAUAAGCGGCUCUGCCCCCUCUUUAUUUGGCUUGGGAGGGAUGUGAGCUUUCUUGGCAGGAUAUAAGAUAUAAUGUUGACACAUGAAAAGAAGGUCAAAGAAUAUAGAGACCUGCAUAAGGUAUCAUGUCAAAACCAGUACAAAGAGGAACAAAGACGAGUAAGAGAUAAACAUGACGGCCAUCAAGUUAAUUUUAUUUUAGAAAAAUUACACCAAGAAAGACCAUUUUUCAAACAAAGUGUACUGUGGCAAAAUAUUUAAACUAUGUUAGUAUGGGAUUGAUGAUUAUUAGCUCAAAAUCGAAAAAAAUUGCCAAGUAUCAAUAAAAAGCCAUAUGGAACAACAGAAAUGUCGCAUACCAAAGAUAUCAAUGUCUUCCCUAUGUUGCCAUA
rnacentral:misc_RNA from 1 species